rnacentral:lncRNA from 1 species
UUUGAUGUUGUCUUUCAUAAGAAAGAUUACAACCUAUUUAUAUAUAAAAGAUGGUAUCUAAACAGGAAAGAAAAUCAAGUCUAUAAUUAUACAAUCCCUAAGAUUAAGCAACUAACCCAUCUAUCAAUAUUUACUUCCUAUAUUAAUAUAUUUACUUCCUAUAAUCUAUAACACUCCCCCUCAAGUUGGAGCAUAAAUGUUAAUCAUGCCCAACUUGUUACAUAUAUAAUCAACUCGUCCCAUACAACUUAACAGACACCGAAUUUGUAAACCCAACUUCUUCCAAUAAUUGGCGUACCCACAAAACUUCACAAACGGUUUUUGCCAUGACUCGACAUUUAGAUUCAGCACUAGAACGGAAGACCACAUUU